rnacentral:lncRNA from 1 species
UCUAACUACAGUUGCCUGCCUGCUUUUCGAGGAAGUUCUUAGUAGGGUUUGCGUCCUCAUCUGCCUUUCCAGACCAGCAGUUCCCAAAAGCCAGUGUGAGAACCAUCUGCAUCAGAGUGACCAGUCUGUGAAGAUCAAGCAUAGGAAUGCCAGGACUCCACCCUACAUGUCCUUUAUCUGGGGUGGUGCCCAGGCUUCCCGAUUAUUCUACCAACUCUACCAAAUCCUUGUUCUUCGUUGCACAAUUAGCUGUGAAACAGACAGAGGUUACCUACAAUAAGUGCAUGUCAUUUUGGACUAGCCAUAUUUCAAGGGCUCAGUAUGGCUAAUGGCCACUAUAUUGGACAUCGACGGUCAAACCCAUUUUACAUUCCCCUGACAACUAUGAUUGGUGUGAGGCCUAUGAUGGCCCAACUAGGCUGACAGCAAAGAUCUUUCCUGUUGGCAAAGAUCAUCUUUCUCUCUCCUGCUGGCAAGAACAAGAAAGAAUAAAGGUCUGAUCAACCCAUGAGCUUUCUUGGGAUUUAUGAGGAGAACCAGACUUUGGAUGAAACUGACAUUGAAAUGAGCAGGAUGGAGAGAAAAAUCCUAGGGGUUUGGUGACAAUACUGGGCUGCUGAUUAAACUUGGAGUUUGCCCUGACUCUGAACUUUCUAUUUAGUGAGAUAAUAAUUGUCUCAAUUGUUUAAGCUAGCUUGUGUUGCUUCCAGCUAAAAGAGUGCCAGCUAUAUACAAUGUGCAAGCUGACAUGUUGUCAUGCUCUGACACUGAUGAACACACCCCCACAAGGCUGUGAAGUAGUAGGGGAAGAACUAACCUGCAUGGAGUUGGAAGGGGGGGAAAAACAAAAUCAAACCAUAUGGAAAGCAGUUGAAUUCACUGCAUUAAAUAUACUUUUUAAAAUGUACAACAUAAUAGCCAUAUGUUUAAGUCAGAAUCAUCUGCAAAGCACGCAUGUUCACUUUCUGUUCCAGAGUCAGGCGUCUGAAUUCUGUGAGCAAAGCCUAGAGAAAAAAAACUAAGCCUAUGCCAGAUUUACAGGAAUAGUUAUCUUUAUAAAGACUAUAUGAACUGUAAUACAAAGUUACAAAGCUGAAGGCAAAGCUUUUCAAUAAAGCAAGUGGCUCUCAAAGAGAUACCUUCAAGAGUGUGGUUCUAUGUUUCCCACCUAGUGCUAAGUAAAACAUACAUUUCAAUUAGAAUUAGAAUGUACUUCAGGAAGUAAAUUAUUAAAUGACCUAGCACAUUUUGAUGUUUUUAAAAGCCCAAACUCCCAGCUGUGGAGAACAAUGAGUCUUUAAUGAUAAUUUAUUCCCCUCUUGUUCCCAUGAUUGCUAGAUAGCUGGGGGCCCUAGAUACUUAUUGGGCUCCAGGGACCCAAUGUGGGCAUUGUCAGAGGAGGAUACCAAUUAGCAGGUUUGGUUUCACAAAGAAGCAAAGAUUGCCCUGAGGUGAAAAACUCUGUCUCAGAGAAAACACCCUUGAACUUGAAUUGUCUUUUUUGCUCAUCAUUAGAAGUCAGCAAAGGAUUUAGCCUCUCCCUCACCAAUUCAUUAUCCACACUCUUCAGAAAAAAAAAAAUAAUAAUAAAAUAAAAUAUUUUCUCUUAUUAUGAAGGUGACAAUAAAGACAGUAAGCUUACCACAUGCAGAAAAGAGAGUGACCACUUUCUACUAGUUUUAAUGGCACUAUCACUGCUUCCAAAAAUUGCUUUAGGUCACUUACGGCCCCUGGAGAUAAACAUCUGAGGAUUCUGCAUAAGGUCCUUAAUGGGUGUUUUCAGGACAGCAUAAUUACCUGAGGCUUGUAAGAGUGAAAAGCAUCAGCCUCAAGGUUACUGAAUAAUGUAUGGUUGCCUGUUUGUCUAUUAGAGAGAGAUAAAGAAGAACAAAAAUCCAGUCACCAUAUGAAUCACAAUUUUAUUAUCUUUUUCAUUCAUUUAGUAUUUCAUUCAACACAUUUGAAAGCAUUUAUUAUGCACCAGGCACUGUACUAAACACUUUAGAUUCUAGUAUGAUUAAGACAGCAGAGUUCUACCCAUUGAGAUGUUCACAAUCUAGGUGGGGAAGGACAUGGAGAAUGAAGAAUAAGCAGACCAUUAAUUCCCAGAAAGGAGUAGGGUUACCUCUGGGCCCCUGCGGAGGUCAAUGAAGCUUUGUCUAUGGCCUUUAAGAGCUUUUCAUUU